CGGCAGUUCUGCCCAAAAAAGCCCAGAAAUAACAAGUCCUUGGCUCUUGGGAAAGUAAGUCGUAGUCUAUUAUAUCAGCAAAAACAAUUUCCAAAUUUCAGAGUCCAUGGCCGAUAAAUCUACCAACAAUAUUGAGUUGAAGGUCUUAGUGGACAGGAGGAGUAACAAAGUUAUCUUCAUAGAGCCUGAGAAUGAUUUUCUUGAUGUUCUCUUCAGUUUCAUUACAAUCCCCAUGGGAACAAUUAUCAGGCUUGCACGUAAACAUUCAGAUCCUGUGGUAAUAGGUUGCAUGAACAACUUGUAUGCAAGUGUCGAGAAUAUUGAUGAACAAAAAUUUUGGAUUGACAUAUGUAAGGACAUGUUACUGCAUCCCCGCAACGCAGCCGAUUCUCAUUGCAAUGACCUCAAUUUGAAACUUGAUGAUACUGAGCCAAGACGCUACUUUAUGUGCCCCAAUUUAUGUAAGGUCUUAAGUUAUUACUGUACCUACUGUCCUUCGUGUUUAUUAAUCAUGAAUAUGGAGAAGAGUCUUUCGUUGCGCGCUUCAGAAGACGGAAGUGUCUUUGUGAAAGGACAAACCAGCUUUACAGUUACUGAUGAUUUACAAGUGAUCCCCCCAAAUUCAUCAGCCAAUUCUGUAUUUACUAAGCUUGGUCUCAUGGAUGUGGAUGCUACUGAGGAGUUGACCAUCAACAUUGGAACUGUUGAGAUUUUGAAUUUGCUCAUGUGCUCCUUAGUGUCAAAAACAGCUUUGACUGAAACCCUGUUGAAGCCUCAACAAGAUCUUAAAUCGAGGAGUACAGUUCUUAAUCAAGCAAUACAUACUGAAUCGCAAAUGUCCAGAGACUCAAUGAAUGAUGAAGAAGAUAAGAUUUCUUUGAAUCUUGUGGUCAGCAAAUCUAAGAAGAUGGUCUGUUACGCAGAAGCGGGGGAGGAUUUUGUUAAUUUGCUCUUCAGUUUCCUAACUCUACCUCUUGGGUUUCUGUUCCAUGAAUAAUUUGCUCUUCGGUUUCUGUUCCAUGGAUUUAAAUGCUCAAGGAUUUCUGAAGAGACCUUCGAUGUUUGUAGUAACUGACAAUCUGGUUGUAAGACCGAUGUCUCGGAUCUUUGAGCUGCAAGUUCUUACAGACUUGAAUGUGCAUGUCACUGACAUUGAGGAUCAAAUUGUGCAUGUGGGCAAGAACGAGGUAGAGGAGAUAAUUCAAGUGGAGAAUGGUGAAACAAGUACUCCAAAAAAGAAAGUGACACAAUUAAAAGCACCAUAUGCAGGGAUGGUAUUUAACACAAUGGAAGAAGCAAGAAACUAUUAUGAAGAGUAUGGCCGGCAAGAAGGAUUCUGGAUUAGAACUCGAUCUUCCUCCAAGACAAGAAGGCGUUUAGAUGAGGUAACGAGUAGACAAUUUGUUUGUGCACAUGAAGGAAAAUACGUGCCCAAAAAUACAUCACAGAAGGCUUCAGAAGAGAAUGAUGAGAGAAACUUAAGUGAGAUUGAGAAUAUGAAGAGAACGGGUAAAAAUUGUUCUACGGUGAAAUGUGGAUGCAAAGCAAGUA